rnacentral:rRNA from 1 species
AGCGAACGCUGGCGGUAGGCCUAAUACAUGCAAGUCGAACGCCAGCACAUUAUGAUCUUGCUCUUACGGGUGGCGAGUGACGGACGGGUGAGGCAUACAUCGGCAUCUACUUUUUCGUGGGGGAUAACGUAGGGAAACUUACGCUAAUACCGCAUACGACCUACGGGUGAAAUCAGGGUAUCUUCGGACCUUGCCCGAUUGAAAGAACCGUGCUCGGAUUAAUUAGUUGGCGGGGUAAAGGCCCACCAAGGCGACGAACCGUAGCUGGUCUGCCAGGAUGGUCGGCCACAUGGGAACUGGAACACGGUCAAGACUCCUACGGGAGGCGCCAGUGGGGAAUAUUGGACAAUGGGCGCAAGCCUGCUCCAGCAAGACCGCGUGGGUGAAGAAGGCCUUCGGGUGGUAAAGCCCUUUUGUUGGGAAAGAAGAGCAGCAGGGUAAUACCCCGAUGUUCUGACGGUACCCAAAGAGUAAGCAACGGCUAACUUCGUG